rnacentral:tRNA from 1 species
UCUAAUAUGGCAGAUAAGUGCAAUAAAUUUAAGAUUUAUAUAUAAGAUUAUAGUCUUUUUUAGAA